CGGCAACAGCUCAAAUUUGAAAUCUGGCCUCUUUGGGGUCCGAGUUGUAAUUUGGAGAGGAUGUUUCGGGUACGGUCCGGGCUUAAAUUUCUUGGAACAGAAUGUCACAGAGGGUGAGAAUCCCGUCUGGAGUCCGGACACGGCCUAUGUGAAACUCCUUCGACGAGUCGAGUUGUUUGGGAAUGCAGCUCUAAAUGGGUGGUAAAUUUCAUCUAAAGCUAAAUAUUGGCCAGAGACCGAUAGCGCACAAGUAGAGUGAUCGAAAGAUGAAAAGCACUUUGAAAAGAGAGUUAAAAAGUACGUGAAAUUGUUGAAAGGGAAGCGCUGGCAACCAGACUCGCACGUCGGGGUUCCCCCUUGCUUUUGCCUGGGUUACUCCCCGGCGUUCAGGCCAACAUCGGUUUCGGGGGUUGGUUAAAGGCCUUGGGAAUGUACUUACCCUCCGGGGUAAACUUAUAGCCCAAGGUGUCAUGCGACCUCCCGGGACCGAGGAACGCGCUUCGGCUCGGAUGUUGGCGUAAUGGUUGUCAGCGACCCGUCUUGAAACACGGACCAAGGAGUCUAACAUCUAUGCGAGUGUUAGGGUGUCAAACCCUUACGCGGAAUGAAAGUGAACGGAGGUAGGAAGCCGUUAGGCUGCACUAUCGACCGAUCCUGAAGUUUACGGAUGGAUUUGAGUAAGAGCAUAGCUGUUGGGACCCGAAAGAUGGUGAACUAUGCCUGAAUAGGGUGAAGCCAGAGGAAACUCUGGUGGAGGCUCGCA
rnacentral:rRNA from 1 species